UUAAACGGUACUCGAGGUUUACCCUUUGCAAAAGGGUACAUUUUAUCCUUUUAAAAGGGUUAAAACUAUCCUUUGAAUACACCUCGCUGGUAUUACCCUUUUAAAAGGGUAUUUCCCUUUGCGUACAAAGUGGCGCCACUUCGUCUCAACUCGCGAACUAUAUUUGUAAAUAGAUUUGACAGAUCAAAGCAAUUUGCCGUAAAAUUUCACGUCCUCUCUUGCUCCUCUGCAUUUUCCGCGUUUUUCCGCGUAAUUUUCGCGAGUUGGUAGAAGUUUGAGGUGAUCCUGAUUAGUGAUUUGUGCAGGUGAUUCAUUUUGCUGGUUUCCGAAGUUUUUUUUUUUGGAAAACGCAGACUCAAGUCAACAUGGAUGGAGUUUAUGAUGCUGUGGGAAACGAAAUCGCGAGCGUUUUCAAAGAAUUUGUACAAUUUCUACUCUCUCGAUCGGGCUGGAGCAAUCUGUUGAUUUAAGGUGUUACAAUGAAAAAAUCUGGCUAAUCAAUCUGUAUGCAGCUCAGGGCGAUGGAAGUCGGCAGAAUCGGUGACGUGCUAAAACCGUUCAACCCCUGUGAGAAGUUGUACCUGCCUUGAAGUCAUUCGAGACAGUUUGUUGCUGGACGCGAAUCGGCAUUUGAUUAUUAUAGUAAUGAUAGGAUUAUGUCGAACUGUACAUAGAGUUGUAAGCAAUAAAAACGGUCAAAUCAAAAUCUGAUUUUAUAUUUAAUUCACAACAAAAUCCGAAAGAUGGCGCCACUGGUCCAAAACAUCACGAUUGACUCAUAGAUGUCGCUAGUGAACGCAUCGCUCCGUUGCGGUACCCUUUCAAAAGGGUACUACGCCAGUACCCUUUCGAAGGGUUUCGCCCCCGUACCCUUUCAAAAGGGUGACGACGGGUA